rnacentral:rRNA from 1 species
UACGUAGGGGGCGAGCGUUGUCCGGAAUGACUGGGCGUAAAGGGCGUGUAGGCGGUCGAUUAAGUCUGGAGUGAAAGUCCUGUAUUUAAUGUGGGAAUUGCUUUGGAUACUGGUUGACUUGAGUGCGGAAUAGGUAAGUGGAAUUCCCAGUGUAGCGGUGAAAUGCGUAGAGAUUGGGAGGAACACCAGUGGCGAAGGCGACUUACUGGGCCGUAACUGACGCUGAUGCGCGAAAGCGUGGGGAGCGAAC